rnacentral:rRNA from 1 species
AAUAGAUACCCCGGUAGUCCCAGCUGUAAACGAUGCAGACUCGGUGAUGAAUUGGCUUAUUGCUAAUUCAGUGCCGCAGGGAAGCCGUUAAGUUUGCCGCCUGGGGAGUACGGUCGCAAGACUGAAGCUUAAAGGAAUUGGCGGGGGGAGCACCACAAGGGGGUGAAGCCUGCGGUUCAAUUGGAGUCAACGCCGGAAAUCUUACCGGGGGGCGACAGCAGAGUGAAGGUCAAGCUGAAGACUUUACCAGACAAGCUGAGAGGAGGUGCAUGGCCGUCGCCAGCUCGUGCCGUGAGGUGUCCUGUUAAGUCAGGUAACGAGCGAGAUCCCUGCCUCUAGUUGCUACCAUUAUUCUCAGGAGUAGUGGAGCUAAUUAGAGGGACCGCCGUCGCUGAGACGGAGGAAGGUGGGGGCUACGGCAGGUCAGUAUGCCCCGAAACCCUCGGGCCACACGCGGGCUGCAAUGGUAAGGACAAUGAGUUUCGAUUCCGAAAGGAAGAGGCAAUCUCUAACCUUACCGACAGUUAUGAUUGAGGGG